AGCAGUCGCCGCGGUAAGACAGAGGAUGCAAGCGUUAUCCGGAAUGAUUGGGCGUAAAGCGUCUGUAGGUGGCUUUUCAAGUCCGCCGUCAAAUCCCAGGGCUCAACCCUGGACAGGCGGUGGAAACUACCAAGCUGGAGCACGGUAGGGGCAGAGGGAAUUUCCGGUGGAGCGGUGAAAUGCGUUGAGAUCGGAAAGAUCACCAACGGCGAAAGCACUCUGCUGGGCCGACACUGACACUGAGAGACGAAAGCUAGGGGAGCAAAUGGGAUUAGAUACCCGUGUAGUCCCUGUCUCUUAUAA
rnacentral:rRNA from 1 species